rnacentral:lncRNA from 1 species
UAGUACACUAUGAUAUUUUAGCAAAGAAAAAGUUUCAAAAAGGUAUAGUUUAUGGUCUUAUUAAGGAACUAUAUGUGUUAUAUUUGUUAACUAAAGUCAGCCCCUCUCAUUUUAAUAGUGCUUCAACUUCAGUAAAAAUUGGACAAAAAUUGUUUUUAUGCCCCAUUUAUGGGCAUUAUGUUUUUGGGUCUGUGUGUCCGUCCAUCUGGUCGUCUGUCCUGCUUCAGGUUAAAGUUUUUGUUAGAAGUAGUUUUUGAUGAAGUUGAACUUGAAACUUAAUACACUUGUUCCCUAAGAUAUGAUCUUUCUAAUUUUAAAGCUAAUUUAGAGAUUUUCCCCCAUUUUCAUGGUCAACUGAACAUAUAAAAUGAUAGUGCGGAUGGGGCAUCCAUGUACUGGGGUCACAUUCUUUUUUUUCAAAUACAUAUUUCGUGUAGAUGUACAGCAUUAAUAAAGAAAUGCUGUAUUAUUGAAGAGCAAUGAAGGUCUUGUUCAGUGUUGUGUAGGGCAGACACUGCUGAUGACAUGUUUACUUUUCUAUUGUAUUUUACAAAGAGUGACAUAAUUUUAUUCAUGUUAUUAAAUGUCUGUAAAUUCAUAAAUGCUAGCAAUGUUUUUAAUAUUGCUAAAAUUUUGAUAGCAUUCUUUGUAUGAAGCAUUUCCUGAAAUCAAGGUUAAAUUUGGGUUCUAAACAUCUUACCAGUAACCAUUGGUGAACCAGAUUAAAAUGACCUCAUAUUUUAAAUGGGCAAUAAGUGACAAAUAGGAUAGAUUGCCUCACAUUAUAUAUGUGAGGUAAAGUGGACUAGAUAUGAGGUUGUUGCUAUAGUAACAUAUGACAUUAUUCAUAUGCAGAGAAUGACGAUCAUUGACAAAGCACUUUAAUAAGUUUAGGCAAAAACAAAAGUGUGGGCUCACAUGGAGCAAGGACUAGACAAGAAUAUUUAUUCAUAUAUGGACAAGAUAAACAGUUAGGUUUACUCCUUACCAGUAAAUACCCAUGAUGAAAACACAUUGGAAGGAGAUGAGUUUGUGUAUUGCCCAUAACCACCAAUCAGUUGUGAUUUUUAGAAAUUGCAAGAUUAAAAUUACUGUGAUACAAAUAGUGUAGACAGAUGAAACACAGAUUUAAGAAACCACUUUGACCCAUUUAUGUGCUACUUACUUGGGAAAACAGUACAUUGAGUUAAAUGUUUCUGCAAGUGUGAACCAGGGUAACUAAUUGAGUUUCACUGUUUGGGUAUCAAGGGUUCAACUAGGCUCAAAUUUCAUAUUUGUUGAACAUGCUCAAAAUCACACUCUUCCUACUCCAAAAUUUCUUUUGAUGUUAAAUUGACAUAAGCAAUAUCAAUUGAACUGUUUUAUCUUGGGUCGGGCCCUAAUUAUCCAAUCAGAAUGUGUGGUCUCUUUCUUAUUUUGUAUAGACAAUAGUUUAAUCAACUUAAUUAGAUCCUUCAAUAAAAGUAAAUUUUACAGAUCUAGACAAUUUUACACUGCCAAAUGACCUAGUCAUUACAGAAACCAUUUGCAGUUGUCUUAAUAUAUUUAUGUCCUAUUCUUAUUUGUAAUGUAUUGAUACUAUUUAUGGUUUAUAUCCUUUUUUGUUGUUAUUUACUUGUAAAGCAUUUAUUAAUUUAUACAUAAUAUUUGAAACUUUUUUAUUUGUUUUUAACUAGCUAUUGGAAGUAUCUUGGUGCUUAUUUUGUAUUUGAAUCUUAAUGUAUGUCCACUUUGUGCAAUUGUUUACUUUACAAUAUUGCCUGAAUUACUAUUUAU